AUUGAACGCUGGCGGCAUGCCUUACACAUGCAAGUCGAACGGUAACAGGUCUUCGGAUGCUGACGAGUGGCGAACGGGUGAGUAAUACAUCGGAACGUGCCUAGUAGUGGGGGAUAACUACUCGAAAGAGUGGCUAAUACCGCAUGAGAUCUACGGAUGAAAGCAGGGGAUCGCAAGACCUUGUGCUACUAGAGCGGCCGAUGGCAGAGUAGGUAGUUGGUGGGAUAAAAGCUUACCAAGCCGACGAUCUGUAGCUGGUCUGAAAGGGCGAUCAGCCACACUGGGACUGAGACACGGCCCAGACUCCUACGGGAGGCAGCAGUGGGGAAUUUUGGACAAUGGGCGCAAGCCUGAUCCAGCAAUGCCGCGUGCAGGAUGAAGGCCUUCGGGUUGUAAACUGCUUUUGUACGGAACGAAAAGCCCCGGGUUAAUACCCUGGGGUCAUGACGGUACCGUAAGAAUAAGCACCGGCUAACUACGUGCCAGCCGCCGCAGUAA
rnacentral:rRNA from 1 species